UCGUCACGCAGGGUCUUUUCAGCUUUAAUGAUGAAUAUUCGAGCAGUCUAGGACGAAGAGUUUCGAUAAAUUCUAAACAACUCACCAAAUUUAUGUAUAGUACUGCCAUCUUGAUGUUUUUUCAUAAGUUUUAAUUUACUCGUAACUGAUAAUUAGUUCGCAUACCGAUAAUGUUGUUAUCUGUCUUUAAGGUAACAUCUAUAAUGUAGUGUGUAUUUCUUCAAAAUUGUCGCUAGAUGGCAAAUUGUGACUGAUUCCUUUAUACACGCACGUAUACUUGCGUGGUAUUCUUCCAUGCAAGUUACGAUUUUAAAGAGAACUCGGACGCAAAUAAAUGAUCGAGAAAAAUUGUAUGAUAGUACAACCCAUUAGAUAGUUACAUUUAAAUAAGCUAGAAUAUAAUCUUUAAAAGAAACUUACAGUGUAUACAAAUUUACUAUGACUCGAUAGUAAGAAAAAUCGGUAUUUAAUCGGUAAGUAAAUCGGUAUUUUCUAUAGCUUAACAAGCAAUCAUAGUAUCAAUAACAAAAUGUCGAUAAUUACGUGGACCAUUACUAUAAUUUAUUAUCAUUGUUUCACAUAUGGUGUUACCUGUAUUUCUUUGAUCAAAUGGCCAGUAUGCUAUUUUUUCGGCAUCGUUCGGAAACCGUUCCUUUUACAUUCCUACAUCUACGCAAGUUUUCCAAGACUUUUGUUGGUGUUUGGAUCGUGAAUUACAGAAAACACACGUGGAAGACAUAGCUAAGUCUGGGAAAAAAGAAAA